AUUGAACGCUAGCGGGAUGCUUUACACAUGCAAGUCGAACGGCAGCGCGGACUUCGGUCUGGCGGCGAGUGGCGAACGGGUGAGUAAUGUAUCGGAACGUGCCCAGUAGCGGGGGAUAACUACGCGAAAGCGUAGCUAAUACCGCAUACGCCCUACGGGGGAAAGUAGGGGAUCGUAAGACCUUGCACUAUUGGAGCGGCCGAUAUCGGAUUAGCUAGUUGGUGAGGUAACGGCUCACCAAGGCGACGAUCCGUAGCUGGUUUGAGAGGACGACCAGCCACACUGGGACUGAGACACGGCCCAGACUCCUACGGGAGGCAGCAGUGGGGAAUUUUGGACAAUGGGGGCAAACCUGAUCCAGCCAUCCCGCGUGUGCGAUGAAGGCCUUCGGGUUGUAAAGCACUUUUGGCAGGAAAGAAACGUCGCGGGCUAAUACCCCGUGGAACUGACGGUACCUGCAGAAUAAGCACCGGCUAACUACGUG
rnacentral:rRNA from 1 species